AACGAACGCUGGCGGCAUGCCUAACACAUGCAAGUCGAACGGGAUCCAGCCUUCGGGUUGGUGAGAGUGGCGGACGGGUGAGUAACGCGUGGGAACCUGCCCAUUGGUCUGGGAUAACUGCGGGAAACUGCAGCUAAUACCGGAUGUACCCGAGAGGGGGAAAGAUUUAUCGCCGAUGGAGGGGCCCGCGUCAGAUUAGGUAGUUGGUGAGGUAACGGCUCACCAAGCCUACGAUCUGUAGCUGGUCUGAGAGGAUGAUCAGCCACACUGGGACUGAGAUACGGCCCAGACUCCUACGGGAGGCAGCAGUGGGGAAUAUUGGACAAUGGGGGGCAACCCUGAUCCAGCUAAUGCCGCGUGAGUGAUGAAGGCCUUAGGGUUGUAAAAGCUCUUUUUACCAGGGACGAUGAUGACGGUACCUGGAGAAUAAGCCCCGGCUAACUUUCGUGCCAGCAGCCGCGGUAAU
rnacentral:rRNA from 1 species